UCCCUUGUAGCUCAGUUGGUAAAGAAUCUGCCUGUGGUGCAGAAGAUCCAGGUUUGAUCCCUGGCUUGGGAA